GUUUACAUGAUGAAACACAUGGUGCUUGAACGUCAGCUGAGAAGCCUUUACACAACCUGGCACCGGAUCCACUAACGCAAUUUAAAGGCUUCUGUGGAUGUAAAUGUUGUAAUUGGCUGCAUUUUAAAAAAGGCUUGAAUAAUAAACUUUUUGGUUCAGGUGUGUUAUAAUUUAUACACCAUCAUGUGUAGCGUUGAUCCAGAUGAACUCACUGAGAUGACGCGAGCCACAGGGCUGAUGGACAUCAGCGGUGGUGAUGUCCUAUGCCGUAAAUGUGGUACAGAAACUGCAGAAGUUGUGCUUCGAGUCAAGGAUGCAUAUUGCAGGUAAGGAUGUUAGAUUGAAGUCUUUGAUACUGUGAAUAAGAUAUUAUGCAAAUUUGAC
rnacentral:lncRNA from 1 species